rnacentral:rRNA from 1 species
GACGAACGCUGGCGGCGUGCUUAACACAUGCAAGUCGAACGGAAAGGCCCUGCUUUUGUGGGGUGCUCGAGUGGCGAACGGGUGGGUAACACGUGAGUAACCUGCCCUUGACUUUGGGAUAACUUCAGGAAACUGGGGCUAAUACCGGAUAGGAGCUCCUGCUGCAUGGUGGGGGUUGGAAAGUUUCGGCGGUUGGGGAUGGACUCGCGGCUUAUCAGCUUGUUGGUGGGGUAGUGGCUUACCAAGGCUUUGACGGGUAGCCGGCCUGAGAGGGUGACCGGCCACAUUGGGACUGAGAUACGGCCCAGACUCCUACGGGAGGCAGCAGUGGGGAAUAUUGCACAAUGGGCGGAAGCCUGAUGCAGCAACGCCGUGUGCGGGAUGACGGCCUUCGGGUUGUAAACCGCUUUCGCCUGUGACGAAGCGUGAGUGACGGUAAUGGGUAAAGAAGCACCGGCUAACUACGUG